ACAAGACAUGCUGAGGCAUGGGAAACACUUGGGCAACCUAGACAGACCUCACUUUUGAAUAGGCAAGCAAAAAGAGAGUUUUCCAUGGCAAAGAAAGAAAGGAGAGGAAAGCAAGAAAUGUGCCCCACCCCAUUAAGAAAGAAAUAAAGAUACCAAAUAAAAGGGAAGAGAAUGGAGAAGAGAGGAACCACAGUUAGUUCAAGAUGUGUAUGGGUUCCAUCAGGAAAGUACAAAUGGAGCUACCUGGGCAGGUGUGGUGGCAUACAUCCACAAUUCUACCUGUAAUCUCAGGGUGAGGUAGGAGGAUGGCAAGUUUAAUGCCAGCAUCAGCGAUUUAGGGAUACCCUCUCUCAAAAUAAAUAAAAAUGAAGAGGACUGGGGAUGUGACCCAGUGGUCAGGCAACCCUGGGAAAGAAAUGAAAAGAAAAGAAGGAAGGAAGGGGGAGAGAGGGAGGAACAGACAGGAAGGAGAGAGAGAGAGAGAGAGAGAAGGCCAUAUAAACACAUAAUCAGUCCCACACUACAUAGUUCCCCACCAUAAGCGACGAUGGGGGGUGGGAGAUAAGAGUAGAUUAAAAAAAAA
rnacentral:lncRNA from 1 species